rnacentral:rRNA from 1 species
ACUUCUUCGGAACAAUAUACAAGGUGCUGCAUGGUUGUCGUCAGCUCGUGCCGUGAGGUGUCGGGUUAAGUCCCAUAACGAGCGCCAACCCCUAUCAUUAGUUGCCAUCAGGUCAAGCGUGGGGACUCUAAUGAAACUGCCUACGCAAGUAGUGAGGAAGGUGGGGAUGACGUCAAAUCAGCACGGCCCUUACGUCCAGGGCUACACACGUGCUACAAUGGCCGAUACAGGAGGGCAGCUACCUGGUGACAGGAUGCAAAUCUCCAAAGUCGGUCUCAGUUCGGAUCGGAGUCUGCAACCCGACUCCGUGAAGUCGGAAUCGCUAGUAAUCGUGAAUCAGAAUGUCACGGUGAAUACGUUCCCGGGCCUU